UCCUACGGUCAUACCACCCUGAACACGCCCGAUCUCGUCUGAUCUCGGAAGCUAAGCAGGGUCGGGCCUGGUUAGUACUUAGAUGGGAGACCGCCUGGGAAUACCAGGUGUUGUAGGUU
rnacentral:rRNA from 1 species